AUGUAUGUUUGUUAUUUAUUGCAGUUUCAGAAGCUGCAAAUGAGAUUACACGCUGACCAAGUCAUGCUGGAACAAGUACAACAGGAGAACCAGUGCCUGAAUCAGCAAGUUGCCCAUCUGACGGCUGCAUUUAUGGCACUGCAGAAAAUGGGACCAAAACCCUACUGGAGUCUGAAUGGAAUGAAAGGAAGGGAAAGGAAGAACACUGGUAUACCAGCUUUCUCAAUAUCAAUACAAAAAGAGGAAUGUGAAGAGGAGCAUAAAUAUGCAAUAACUGAUACUGUGAAGAAGAGAGCUGACAAAACUUCGUUAAGAGGAGGAAGAUGUGCAUAUCUAAUCAACAGUAGGAUUUCUUGGGGUGUGGUGUCUGAUCACCAGCUGUUGUGAAAAGGAGACACAGCAACAGGGCAUCAUCUUGGCUAAGGAGAGAAUAGAUUGUUGGACCUUCAGCUUCUCAAAACAGGUGAAGAGGCAUCAGUCUGGUUCCUAAGCACAAAGAAGAAGAAAAAAAGACAGGUAAGGAACAGUAUGCUGCUUGGUACUCUUUGCAGUCCUGAAAAACAGUCAUUUCUUUCUCCACCUUUGUUGCUAAACACCUCCUGAGCAAUUUCUGCUGCUCUUGGAUUUUUUACAGUAUUGCAUGUAAAGAAAUCCUGAUUCCAGAAAUCAAGAGGGUUUGCCUUUAGAGCUAAAUCAUCAAAACGUACCUUUUUAUUCUGAACGGAAGGGUGGCCAUUUCCAUUUCAAAUAAGCAUGGGGAAGGCAUAGAGUUUUUGAGAAGUGAACUUGAUAGGGCCAGAUCAGAAGUGCAGCUGUCUAUGCCAGUGCAGCGCUCUGCUUCAAGUGGAAGAAGAAAGCAGUGUGUAAACUAACUGUGGGAGCUGAGAAGGAGAAGGAGAUGCCAUCUGACCUGGUCCUUUCUUCACUAUUGCAGUCACCACCAUUCUUUUUUAUGAGGAGUCCUAGCAAACUGGUGCAGAUACAUUUUAAAUCUAAAUUUCAAGUCAGCAAGGUCCUGUGGCUGAUAGGCAAUCCUUUUGCCUUUCUGUUUGGUUCUUCUGCAUUAGCUAUUGUUAUGUUCUGAGGCUUCUUUUUUAAGCAAUGCAAUAAAAACAACGCAAACAAGCUGGGCA
rnacentral:lncRNA from 1 species